AUUGAACGCUGGCGGCAGGCCUAACACAUGCAAGUCGAACGAGUGGCGGACGGGUGAGUAAUGUCUGGGAAACUGCCUGAUGGAGGUGGAUAACUACUGGAAACGGUAGCUAAUACCGCAUACCAUCAGAUGUGCCCAGAUGGGAUUAGCUAGUUGGUGGGGUAAAGGCUCACCAAGGCGACGAUCCCUAGCUGGUCUGAGAGGAUUACCAGCCACACUGGAAUUGCGACACGGUCGUGCCUCCCACGGGAGGGCGCAGUGGGGAAUAUUGCACAAUGGGAGCAAGCCUGAUGCAGCCAUGCCUCGUGUAUGAAGAAGGCCUUCGGGUUGUAAAUUACUUUCAGCGGGGAGGCGUUACCCGCAGAAGAAGCACCGGCUAACUCCGUGCCAGCAGCGCGGUAAUUC
rnacentral:rRNA from 1 species